GUUCCUCCUAGAAUGUUCUAGAACACUUCUAUCAAUGAGGUAACCUUAAGGAUUCCUCCUAGAAUGUUCUAGAACAUGUCUGUCAAUGAGGUCACCUCAAGGGAUUUCCAGAUCAAGCUAGCACCUCCUUUUAAUAUACUUCAUUAACAUCAAUUUCUUAAAACAUACAUUUUUCAAACUACCUUUACUCAAUUCUAAUCUUACUACAACCUAAUUUAUUACUCCAGUUAUAUCUUAAUAAUUCAAUAUUUGAAACAUUUCAACAUUAUAAUAUUUGACCAUUAUAACGUCUCGUUAUCAACCUCCUAAGGCCUUGUCCUCUAAGCAGAAUGAAACACAGUCUAUAUGAUUCACAACUUAAAGAAAACUACAUCAUAACUCUCCUCACCUGCAUUAUUUUAACACCUUUAAUAUCUCCCAACGUUUUCAACCUUUAACAUUUAAUAUGUUUAACCUUUAAUUAGUAUUUCAAUAAAUUCCAGUCCCAAUUCAUUUCUUCUUCUCUUUAGUCAGUGUCAAUUCAUUUCUUCUUCUCUUUAGUCAGUGUCAAUUCAUUUCUUCUUCUCUUUCGUCAGUGUCAAUUCAUUUCUUCUUCUCUUUCGUCAGUGUCAAUUCAUUUCUUCUUCUCUUUAGUCAAUGUCAAUUCAUUUCUUCUUCUCUUUCAUCAGUGUCAAUUCAUUUCUUCUUCUCUUUCGUCAGUGUCAAUUCAUUUCUUCUUCUCUUUCGUCAGUGUCAAUUCAUUUCUUCUUCUCUUUAGUCAGUGUCAAUUCAUUUCUUCUUCUCUUUAUCAGUGUCAAUUCAUUUCUUCUUCUCUUUCGUCAGUGUCAAUUCAUUUCUUCUUCUCUUUCGUCAGUGUCAAUUCAUUUCUUCUUCUCUUUAGUCAGUGUCAAUUCAUUUCUUCUUCUCUUUAGUCAGUGUCAAUUCAUUUCUUCUUCUCUUUCGUCAGUGUCAAUUCAUUUCUUCUUCUCUUUAGUCAGUGUCAAUUCAUUUCUUCUUCUCUUUAGUCAGUGUCAAUUCAUUUCUUCUUCUCUUUAGUCAGUGUCAAUUCAUUUCUUCUUCUCUUUAGUCAGUGUCAAUUCAUUUCUUCUUCUCUUUAGUCAGUGUCAAUUCAUUUCUUCUUCUCUUUAGUCAGUGUCAAUUCAUUUCUUCUUCUCUUUCGUCAGUGUCAAUUCAUUUCUUCUUCUCUUUCGUCAGUGUCAAUUCAUUUCUUCUUGUCUUUAGUCAGUGUCAAUUCAUUUCUUCUUCUCUUUAGUCAGUGUCAAUUCAUUUCUUCUUGUCUUUCGUCAGUUUCAAUUCAUUUCUUCUUCUCUUUAGUCAGUGUCAAUUCAUUUCUUCUUCUCUUUAGUCAGUGUCAAUUCAUUUCUUCUUCUCUUUAGUCAGUGUCAAUUCAUUUCUUCUUCUCUUUAGUCAGUGUCAAUUCAUUUCUUCUUCUCUUUCGUCAGUGUCAAUUCAUUUCUUCUUCUCUUUCGUCAGUGUCAAUUCAUUUCUUCUUCUCUUUAGUCAGUGUCAAUUCAUUUCUUCUUCUCUUUAGUCAGUGUCAAUUCAUUUCUUCUUCUCUUUAGUCAGUGUCAAUUCAUUUCUUCUUCUCUUUCGUCAGUGUCAAUUCAUUUCUUCUUCUCUUUAGUCAGUGUCAAUUCAUUUCUUCUUCUCUUUCGUCAGUGUCAAUUCAUUUCUUCUUCUCUUUCGUCAGUGUCAAUUCAUUUCUUCUUCUCUUUCGUCAGUGUCAAUUCAACCUCAUUGUUCAUUCCUCUUUAUGCUCCAUGUGUGAGUGAAAGUGAAACGUCUUCCUGAGUGUGUGUGGGUGUUUACAAGUGGGUCCUCCCUACCGGUGUCCUCUGUCACUAAAAUGUCACAGAAAACUGAGCCUCAACCAACCAUUCUUGACACAGUAAAGACCCUCAGUCUACCUCUGUACAUUACAAACAGUAAAGAACCCCAGUCUACCUCUGUACAUUACCAAACAGUAAAGACCCUCAGUCUACCUCUGUACAUUACCAAACAGUAAAGACCCUCAGUCUACCUCUGUACAUUACCAAACAGGAAAGAACCCCAGUCUACCUCUGUACAUUACCAAACAGGAAAGAACCCCAGUCUACCUCUGUACAUUAAAACAGGAAAGAAGCCCAGUCUACCUCUGUAUGUUAAAACAGUAAAGAACCCCAG
ensembl:lncRNA